AUUGAACGCUGGCGGCAGGCCUAACACAUGCAAGUCGAACGAGUGGCGGACGGGUGAGUAAUGUCUGGGAAACUGCCUGAUGGAGGGGGAUAACUACUGGAAACGGUAGCUAAUACCGCAUACCAUCAGAUGUGCCCAGAUGGGAUUGGCUUGUUGGUGGGGUAACGGCUCACCAAGGCGACGAUCCCUAGCUGGUCUGAGAGGAUGACCAGCCACCCUAGAAAUGAGACACGUUCCAGUCUCCUACGGGAGGUGGGAGUGGGGAAUAUUGCACAAGGGGAGGAAGCCUGAUGCAGCCAUGCCGCGUGUAUGAAGAAGGCCGUCGGGUUUUAAAGUAAUUUCAGCGGGGAGGCGUUACCCGCAGAAGAAGCACCGGCUAACUCCGUGCCAGCAGCCGCGGUAAUUC
rnacentral:rRNA from 1 species